rnacentral:rRNA from 1 species
UACGUAGGCAGCGAGCGUUGUUCGGAAUUACUGGGCGUAAAGAGUGUGUAGGCGGUGCUCCCAGUCUGUUGUGAAAUCUCCCGGCUUAACUGGGAGGGUGCAGCGGAAACUAGAGUGCUAGAGGGUGGGAGAGGUAAGCGGAAUUCCUGGUGGUAGCGGUGAAAUGCGUGAGAUAUCAGGAAGAACACCCGUGGCGAAGGCGGCUCUCUGGGACGGUACUGACGCUGAGACGCGAAAGCGUGGGGAGCGAACAGG